rnacentral:lncRNA from 1 species
AUCUCUCUCAGGUCAGCCUUGAACUAGACACUAGAGCCACGAGCUGAGUCCAAGUGCAUGCUCACGGAAGUCCUGGUCCCAGAGGAGAGGGAGACCUCAGAUCCUACAAGGUUGGGACCACAGAUGGGUGCCUGGUGCCUGGUGCGUCUCCUACUUUGACUCUAGUCGGAAGAAUGUGGGAUUUGUGAUGCUUUGUACCCAGAGGGGCUCAAUACCUGCCUGAUGAAUUGAACUUGAUUGAAGCCAAGGGGCAAAGCAAACAUGGUGGUACCCGUUACAGUUAGAGAGUAAGGAGUUGUCUGAACCAGUGACAAGAAAAGUGAAUGGUGAAGGCUGAAGGAGCAGAAACAAAUGAGUUUAGUAAGUACAAAGAUCCCCUACAGUUGC